rnacentral:rRNA from 1 species
AGAAGAUGGUAAGGGCAAACGGUGGAUGCCUUGGCACAAGAAGCCGAUGAAGGACGUGAUAAGCUGCGAUAAGCCACGGUUAGGAGCACAUAUCCUGUGACCCGUGGAUUUCCGAAUGGGUAAACCCACCAAGAGUCAUUUCUUGGUACUUCCUGCUGAAUAUAUAGGCAGGAUAGAGGUAACCGGGGGAACUGAAACAUCUAAGUACCCCGAGGAAGAGAAAUCAAACGAGAUUCCCCUAGUAGUGGCGAGCGAACGGGGAUAUAGGACAAACCGUCAGUUGCGCAAGCGCUGGCGGGGUUGUAGGACCAUUCAUUGUGGAGUUACAAAACUUCGUGGAAGCAGAAUAGCUUGGAAAAGCUGGCGAGACAGGGUAAAAGCCCCGUACGCGAAUCUGCGAAGACUCCCGAGUGGCACCUGAGUACUGCCGGACACGUGAAACCCGGUGGGAACCUGGGGGGUCCACCCUCCAAUCCUAAAUACUCUCUUGUGACCGAUAGUGAACCAGUACCGUGAGGGAAAGGUGAAAAGCACCCCUAGCGGGGAGUGAAAUAGUACCUGAAACCGUUUGCCUACAAGCAGUCGGAGCAGACUUUUGUCUGUGACGGCGUGCCUUUUGUAGAAUGAGCCAGCGAGUUACGGCAUGUGGCAAGGUUAAGCUAAAAAGCGAGCCGCAGCGAAAGCGAGUCUGAAUAGGGCGAGUGAGUCGCAUACCGUAGACGCGAAGCCAGGUGAGCUAUCCAUGAGCAGGCUGAAGCGGGGGUAAGACCCCGUGGAGGGCCGAACCCACUUAGGUUGAAAACUGAGGGGAUGACUUGUGGAUAGGAGUGAAAGGCCUAUCAAACCUGGAGAUAUCUCGUUCUCUCCGAAAUAGCUUUAGGGCUAGCCUCGGAUGUUUACCAAUGGGGGUAGAGCACUGAAUAGUUGCGGGGGCUUCACCGCCUACCAAGAUUAAUCAAACUCCGAAUACCAUUGGUCUAGAAUCCGGGAGUCAGAAUAUGUGGGCUAAGCUGUGUAUUCGAAAGGGAAACAGCCCAGACCGCCCGCUAAGGUCCCAAAAUCAAUGCUAAGUGGCAAAGGAUGUGCGUUUGCUCAGACAACCAGGAUGUUGGCUUAGAAGCAGCCAUUCAUUUAAAGAGUGCGUAAUAGCUCACUGGUCGAGUGGACAUGCGCCGACAAUAUACGGGGCUAAGCAUUGUACCGAAGCGGCGGAUCAGUACUUUGUACUGGUGGUAGGAGAGCUUUCUGUACGGGUUGAAGCAGUUGGAUAACCAACUGUGGACUGUCCAGAAGUGAGAAUGCUGGCAUGAGUAACGAGAGACAUGUAAAAAACAUGUCCGCCGUAAACCCAAGGUUUCCUGGGCAAGGCUAAUCCUCCCAGGGUUAGGCGGGAGCUAAGGCAAGGCCGGAAGGCGUAGUCGAUGCACAACAGGUAGAAAUUCCUGUCCCUCCAAAAGAGCGUUAUCACCAAUGGGGUGACGGAGAAGGGUAGCUAGGCGGGGUUCUGGACGUCCCCGUGAUGGCACGUAGGCUGAGAAGUAGUGAAAUGCGCUUCUCGUGUGGCUGAGGUGUCGGACGAAGCAAUUGAGUGAAGCUAGUAAGCCCAUACUUCCAAGAAAAACCUCUAGGGAGCUCUGAGGAGCCCGUACCGCAAACCGACACAGGUGGGUGGGUAGAGCAUACCAAGGCGAUCGGGAGAACUAUGGUUAAGGAACUCGGCAAAAUUGCCCCGUAACUUCGGGAGAAGGGGUGCCGGUUUCGGUGAAGGGAUUUACUCCCCGAGCUAAGAUCGGUCACAGUAAAUAGGUCCAAGCGACUGUUUAUCAAAAACACAGGACUCUGCUGAAGUCGUAAGACGACGUAUAGGGUCUGACGCCUGCCCGGUGCCGGAAGGUCACGAGGAGUUGUUAGCAUUAGCGAAGCAGCGAAUCUAAGCCCCGGUAAACGGCGGCCGUAACUAUAACGGUCCUAAGGUAGCGAAAUUCCUUGUCGGGUAAGUUCCGACCUGCACGAAAGGCGUAACGAUUUGGACGCUGUCUCAACCAUAGACCCGGUGAAAUUGCACUAGUCGUGAAGAUGCGACUUACCCGCAGAAGGACGGAAAGACCCCGUGAACCUUUACUGCAGCUUGACAUUGGCUGCCGGUUCGUCGUGUAGAGGAUAGGUGGGAGACUUUGAACCAGGGACGCCAGUCUCUGGGGAGUCACCCUUGGAAUACCACCCUCGACGUUCUGGCAUCCUAACUUGCGACCGUUAUCCGGCGUGAGGACCGUGUCAGGUGGGUAGUUUGACUGGGGCGGUCGCCUCCUAAAAUGUAACGGAGGCGCACGUAAGGUCUGCUCAGGAUGGUCGGCAACCAUCCUUUUGAGUGCAAGAGCAUAAGCAGGCUUGACUGCGAGGCCUACAAGCCGAGCAGAUGGGAAACCAGGUUCUAGUGAUCCGGCGGCUCAGAGUGGUAUGGCCGUCGCUCAACGGACAAAAGGUACUCCGGGGAUAACAGGCUGAUCUUCCCCAAGAGUCCACAUCGACGGGAAGGUUUGGCACCUCGAUGUCGGCUCAUCGCAUCCUGGGGCUGGAGCAGGUCCCAAGGGUAUGGCUGUUCGCCAUUUAAAGCGGUACGCGAGCUGGGUUCGUUAACCAAUAGCAUUGCCCGGUAGCUGAGUCCGGUCGGGAUAACCGCUGAAAGCAUCUAAGCGGGAAGCCCAUCCCAAGAUGAGUUUUCCUUUCGGUAAGACCCCUUGUAGACUACGAGGUUGAUAGGAUGCAGAUGUAAGUGCUGUAAGGCAUUCAGUCGAGCAUUACUAAUCGGUCGAGCUCUUCUUUUC